rnacentral:rRNA from 1 species
GUGAUAUGGAAUACCUGCUUGUCAUUGCCUGAGCUUGUCAAAUCUCAGAAGCUAAACAAGGCCAUGUCUGGUUUGUACUCGGAUGGGAGACCUCUGGGAAUAAUAGGUGCCCCACU